CCUACGGGUGGCAGCAGUGAGGAAUAUUGGUCAAUGGGCGGGAGCCUGAACCGGCCAAGCCGCGUGAGGGAAGAAGGUACAGCGUAUCGUAAACCUCUUUUGUCAGGGAACAAAGGCGGGGACUAGUCCCCGGAUGAGGGUAUCUGAAGAAAAAGCAUCGGCAAACUCCGUGCCAGCAGCAGCGGUAAUACGGAGGAUGCGAGCGUUAUCCGGAUGUAUUGGGUUUAAAGGGUGCGCAGGCGGCCAGUUAAGUCAGCGGUAAAAGCCCGGGGCUAAACCCCGGCGAGCCGUUGAAACUGGCUGGCUAGAGUUGGAGAGAGGUAGGCGGAAUGCGCGGUGUAGCGGUGAAAUGCGUAGAUAUCGCGCAGAACACCGAUUGCGAAGGCAGCGUACCGGCUCCACACUGACGCUGAGGCACGAAAGCGUGGGUAUCGAACAGGAUUAGAUACCCGUGUAGUC
rnacentral:rRNA from 1 species